rfam:Aedes aegypti strain Liverpool supercont1.404 genomic scaffold, whole genome shotgun sequence.
CCUCUCGUGGCGUAGGGGUAACGCGCCCUAUCUAGUAAACAGGGAGUCGUAAGUUCGAUUCUCACCGAUAAGA